GGGGGCGCACUGGUUUCGACCGGUUUCGCGCCGCUCCGAGUCGCGUGUCGGGUACUCCGGGUCACCCCGCAACCUGCCCCGGAAACGGCUUUAAUUGCCAACAACUACUCUCUCGCUGCUUAGUUAAAUAAGCAGCCGUCCCCCGCGGAGUGUCCGCGGCCGCGGGAGGACGCAACAGCGGACUGGCCGGCGAGCAACGCCCCGUGGCGGACCGGCGAGACUUCAGGCGGGGCUGGCCCCAGGGCAGCCCGUCAACCGGCGGCCCGCGGGCGAGAUUCAAACGGCUGACUACACACGUAGACGCUCGGCGCCGGCUCAUUCCGGGACGCGGGUUCGAUUCCCGCCGCCUCCACCA
rnacentral:tmRNA from 2 species